rnacentral:rRNA from 1 species
AUUGCCUCAGUAACGGCGAGUGAAGCGGCAACAGCUCAAAUUUGAAAUCUGGCUCUCGGGCCCGAGUUGUAAUUUGUAGAGGAUGCUUUUGGUGCGGUGCCUUCCGAGUUCCCUGGAACGGGACGCCAUAGAGGGUGAGAGCCCCGUCUGGUUGGACGCCAAUCCUCUGUAAAGCUCCUUCGACGAGUCGAGUAGUUUGGGAAUGCUGCUCUAAAUGGGAGGUAUAUGUCUUCUAAAGCUAAAUACCGGCCAGAGACCGAUAGCGCACAAGUAGAGUGAUCGAAAGAUGAAAAGAACUUUGAAAAGAGAGUUAAAAAGUACGUGAAAUUGUUGAAAGGGAAGCGCUUGUGACCAGACUUGGGCUUGGUUGAUCAUCCAGGGUUCUCCCUGGUGCACUCUUCCGGCCCAGGCCAGCAUCAGUUCGCCCCGGGGGAAAAAGGCUUCGGGAAUGUGGCUCUCUCCGGGGAGUGUUAUAGCCCGCUGCGUAAUACCCUGUGGCGGACUGAGGUUCGCGCAUUCGCAAGGAUGCUGGCGUAAUGGUCAUCAGUGACCCGUCUUGAAACACGGACCAAGGAGUCGUCUUCGUAUGCGAGUGUUCGGGUGUCAAACCCCUACGCGAAAUGAAAGUGAACGCAGGUGAGAGCUUCGGCGCAUCAUCGACCGAUCCUGAUGUUUUCGGAUGGAUUUGAGUAAGAGCAUACGGGGCCGGACCCGAAAGAAGGUGAACUAUGCCUGUGUAGGGUGAAGCCAGAGGAAACUCUGGUGGAGGCUCGCAGCGGUUCUGACGUGCAAAUCGAUCGUCAAACAUGGGCAUGGGGGCGAAAGACUAAU